rfam:Oenococcus oeni PST-1, complete genome.
GGGAGUGUAGCGAAGUGGUUAAACGCUGCGGACUGUAAAUCCGCCCUCUUACGAGUUCGUAGGUUCGAAUCCUACCGCUCCCA